GAUGAACGCUAGCGGCAGGCUUAAUACAUGCAAGUCGAGGGGCAGCAGGACUGUAGCAAUACAGUUGCUGGCGACCGGCAAACGGGUGCGGAACACGUACGCAACCUACCCAAAACUGGGGGAUAGCCCGGGGAAACCCGGAUUAAUACCUCGUAACCUUUUUAAGUGGCAUCACUUGAUAAGUAUAGCUCCGGCGGUUUUGGAUGGGCGUGCGCCUGAUUAGGUAGUUGGUGCGGGUAACGGCCCACCAAGCCUGCGAUCAGUAACUGGUGUGAGAGCACGACCAGUCACACGGGCACUGAGACACGGGCCCGACUCCUACGGGAGGCAGCAGUAAGGAAUAUUGGUCAAUGGACGCAAGUCUGAACCAGCCAUUCCGCGUGAAGGAUGAAGGUCCUCUGGAUUGUAAACUUCUUUUAUGGGGGACGAAACCCGGAUAUUCUUAUCCGAUUGACGGUACCUCAGGAAUAAGCACCGGCUAACUCCGUG
rnacentral:rRNA from 1 species